GUGGCGUACGGGUGAGUAACGCGUAGGCAAUCUACCCCAGAGUCUGGAAUAACCGGCCGAAAGGCUGGCUGAAUACUGGAUAGAGCGACGGAAUCCGUAAUUGGGUUUUUCGGGAAAGGGAGGGAGCAAUCCCCCUUGCUCUGGGAUGAGCCUGCGUCCCAUCAGCUAGUGUAAGUAAUGCUACCAAGGCGAUGACGGUAGCUGGUCUGAGAGGAUGAUCAGCCACACUGGAACUGAAACACGGUCCAGACUCCUACGGGAGGCAGCAGUGGGGAAUCUUGCGCAAUGGACGAAAGUCUGACGCAGCCACGCCGCGUGAGUGAAGAAGGCCUUCGGGUUGUAAAGCUCUGUCGCCCGGGACGAACAUCAUUAGAGUUAACAGCUCUAGUGACUGACGGUACCGGGAGAGGAAGCACCGGCUAACUCUGUGCCAGCAGCCGCGGUAA
rnacentral:rRNA from 1 species